AUGACCCCUACUCCCUCCGUGUCGUGUCUUCAGGGGCCCAGUGGCCAAAAGCCCCCCACGGCGGGUCUUCAGGCGGCCUCGUCCUCUCUCCCUGAAGGAGCAUUCCCGCUCUGCGCUCCUCCAACGGCGCUCCAGGCAUCCCCUGGGGAGGCCUCCGCUACGCCUCCCGACUCCUCCCUGACCCAGCCUCCCCUGAGCUCGACCUCUGACCUGGGUCGAUUCCGGAGCCCGUCCGAUCUCUCCAGCCUGGAUCGAUCAUCCGCCCGGCCCCUGUCGUCACAGAACGCGGCGGCGGCGGCGGUUGACAGCGUGUCAUCGAUGAACCAGGCGUUCUCUGACCCGACGUGGUCGCCCCAGCUCACAGAGCCGUCCGGCGGGUACGACGCGUCCCCCGCCCCCGCGGCGGGAGACGGGCUCAGCCGCUCCGUGGCGGAAGGCGACGGAUCCGUUGUCAAAAAGGCGGACGUGUUCCCGUGGUUCCCCUUUGACGAGAACACCCUCGACCCGUUCAGAACCCCGCCGGGCACCCAAGAGGUCCAGGCUCCGGAGCGCGCGGGCCCCUUCCUCCUUUCUCCGGAGCAGCAGGAGAACAUCUUCCAGGAGAACAUCUUCCAAUCCCGGCCCAAGGAAGGAGACAAACUAUUCCGGACCCCUCUCCCGGAGAAGGAGACCGGUUUGUUCCAGACGCCGCUCCCGAACGGAGCCCUCGUCUACAGAGAUCCCUUCUCUGCCGACAACGACCUGUUCAGUUUCUCAGAUCACCCGCCGAGUGAGGCGCUGUCGCUCUCGACCAACGGGAUCCAGCGUUCUCCCGACGGGGACCCGUUCUUCCAGCGAGGGCCUAUGGAAGCACAGGGGUCUGUCGUACUCCCCGCCCCCUUGUCGCAGUCCGCAAACCGACCUUCCGACAGUCCUAAUUGGUCGGUUUUCGUCAACACCAGCAGCGCUUCCAGCUCCGCCCCCGCCGACGACACCGUCACGGCCCCACGCGCCGCGCUUUCCCCCAACCUUUCCGACGCGGCGGACAUUUUCUCUCCCGCCGUCGAUCCCGGGACGGGCGUGGCUCCGCCGUCCCGCCCUCCAACGCCGGCCCGCCCCGACGUACCGCCGGCUGUGACGCUGACCACCCCUACGGGAUCGAAUCGUGGUAUACUCCAACCCACGCCCUUCGCUCUGGCCCUGGCUUCCAUGGCAACGGCGCAACCGUCCCCGACGCCGUCGGGCAGCGCCUUCAGCAGACCUCCGAAGCCUGUGCCGCGUGUCAGACCCCAGCGGCCCGCGGGCCUGGUACUCCGGCCAACAGCGAGUCCGGCUAGGCAACAUGCUUCUCCAGCGCCCGGCAAGACUCCACCGAAGACACCACCCAAAGCUCCACCCAGACCGACCCUACCAGCCACCCUCAGGUUCUCCCCUAGCUCACCCUUAACUCCAGAACCCUUAACUCCAGAACCCUUAACUCCAGAACCCUUAACUUCAGAACCCUUAAUUCUAGAACCCUUAACACUCAAGCCAGCACUAGCCCCCGGCCUCGCCCUCAGCCCCAUCGCCCCCUCAAACCCCUUCACCACCCACGGACCGACCCCCACCCUCAGCCCCACCCUCACCCCCAUCACAGCCUCGAACCCAGAACCCUGGAUGGUCCAGAAACCCACCCUCACCCCCACCCCGACCUCCACGUCAACCCCAAACACUCAACUCUCAGAGCCACACCCCUUGCCCUCGGCCACCCCAAGACUGAACACCACCACCUCCGCCCCACUGACCCACGUCACGGCUCCAACGCCACCCCCCAAGCCGGUUCCUCGCCUCAAACAAGCUGCAGAGGUAAAGAUCACAGGGCAAUUCAAUUAAAUGUCAUUAUAUUUAAUGUGGUUCAUUACAUGUACAAGCAUAUCAUUUGAUAAAGGUGUAUUUAAUUAUGUAUCGUCUGUGUUUUAAUGACUAUGUUGGACAUCAUGAUCUUGGUGUCUGGAAUAUCUCCGAUGGGUUGCAGUGAAUAUCUCUGGUGGGGUACAGUGGAGGUCUCUGGUGGGGUACAGUGGAGGUCUCUGGUGGGGUACAGUGAGGGUCUCUGUGGGGUACAGUGGAGGUCUCUGGUGGGGUACAGUGAGGGUCUCUGUGGG
ensembl:lncRNA